UCUUUAAUAUACCUAUCACAUUAAUGUUUUAAGGGUCUUAAGCUUAUACAAACCAUUUAAGUCGGUAUGAAACACCAAAACGGAAUGAACAAUAACCGAUUACAUUUUGUAGUUUAGAAAUUCUAAAUGCAUUGAACAGAAAGGAGAAAUUUGUAAUGAAAUGUUGAGUUUUUAUAUUUAUCACUUUUAAUUUGAUAUUAAAUAGAAAUAACUUAUUAAUAUGGAUGAGUUAAAAUUAUUAGUUUGAAAAAUCAUGAGAGCGCCCUCUACGAUAUCAAUAACAAAGAUGGCGGAACGUAAACAAACCACUUCGCCGCGAAUAUGGAACUUGUUCUCUUAUUUCUUGCUAAUUGUACUAUAUAGUCCGCAUCCCCACU
rnacentral:lncRNA from 1 species